UCCCUGGCGGUCCAGUGGUUAAGCCUCUGCACUCCCAAUGCAGGGCACAUGGGUUCGAUCCCUGGCCAGGGAA
rnacentral:tRNA from 1 species